UACGAAGGUCCCAAGCGUUAUCCGGAUUUAUUGGGUUUAAAGGGUGCGUAGGCGGUCUAUUAAGUCAGUGGUGAAAGCCCCAAGCUCAACUUGGGAACUGCCAUUGAUACUGGAUGGCUUGAAUCCGGGAGAGGGAUGCAGAAUUCCAGGUGUAGCGGUGAAAUGCGUAGAUAUCUGGAGGAAUACCGGUGGCGAAGGCGGCAUCCUGGACCGGCAUUGACGCUGAUGAGCGAAAGCUAGGGGAGCAAACGGG
rnacentral:rRNA from 1 species